GAUCAUGGCUCAGGACGAACGCUGGCGGCGUGCUUAACACAUGCAAGUCGAACGUGAUUUUUGUGGAAAUUCUUUCGGGAAUGGAAAUGAAAUGAAAGUGGCGAACGGGUGAGUAACACGUGAGCAACCUACCUUACACAGGGGGAUAGCCGUUGGAAACGACGAUUAAUACCGCAUGAGACCACAGAAUCGCAUGAUAUAGGGGUCAAAGAUUUAUCGGUGUAAGAAGGGCUCGCGUCUGAUUAG
rnacentral:rRNA from 1 species